UGCGAGCUUGGAAAAGUGGAUCGGCGCAAGAAAUCCCGUGAAAAUCGGGAGCAGUUGCGCUGCUGUAACUGGAUACGACUUCCCACUGGGCCAAUCCCCGAAAAAAUUUCGGGGGUGAAGGCGGGAACAAGGAUGAAGCCAGGAGCCAGAAUAUUUGUCCGGUCCACCUCAUUCGU
rfam:Verrucomicrobia bacterium 13_2_20CM_55_10 13_2_20cm_scaffold_932, whole genome shotgun sequence.